rnacentral:lncRNA from 1 species
CAGGAGAAUCCUUUCCAACGCUCCGAGCCUCAGUCUCCUCGUGUGUGAUGUGGGAAAUGCCAACUAUCGCACCCUGGAGGUGUUGUGAGGAUCCAAGGAGCGAGGCUACGCGAAUCGCUGGGCACAGGGCCUGGCAGAUUGAGAACCAGGAGCUCGCUGCUAAGUUGUCAGAGCCUUGGGAAUGAAUACAAAGGAGGGAAAGGACAGGUUUCUCUCCACCUCUUCUAUUUUAAAAGUACUCUUGCUUGAGUACACCACAGUAGAGGCUGCCAACUCGAACACUUGCAGGGUGGGGGUCGCGCCAGCCAAGGGCAGCCGUAGGGGCUCCGCCUGGAGCUGAGCCCGUGCCCUCCAGCCCCCGGCGGCCAGUGGGAAGGGCAAAUCUUCCAGUUUUUCUUGACAGGCUAGAAAGCUGAUUUUCUCUAAGAUAACUUUCAAUUAUUUAUUUAUUUGGUACCAGGGAUCAAACUCGGGACCUUGUGCUUGGAAGGCAAGCAGCAGAACCACUGAGCUAAAUCCCCGGACCUUCUGUGCCAGUCUGCUAUCUGCUCUGGCCCCCAGUAAUCUUUUUUCCAAAGUCAUGCGCACAUAGUAGUCAAACAAGUACGGCAGAAAAGAAAAGAAGAUCUCUCCUGGUCAAACCAUGGGCGGGGAGCCCGGAACUCUCUUGGCCUGAUCUGCUCAAAUCUGCCUUGAGCUCCUUGAAGAAAGCCUGCAGAGCCCUGGGCCACAGUGAAUCUAUGGUUCGUACUUUGACAGCCA